AACGCAUCUUGCGCCCUUUGGCUAUUCUGAAGGGCAUGCCUGUUUGAGAGUCAUUAUUAUUAUCAAACUUUAGAGUUUUUGUGGACUCUGAAGCUUUGGAUAUGGAGGAUUAUUGCUGGCAAAUUCAUGUUGCUGGCUCCUCUCAAAUGCAUUAGCGGAACUUGUCAAUGUCUUGGCUCUGGUUUGAUACAUAUCUAUGCCAUUGCUGAGGAGCUUUCAUGGUUCAGCUUCUAAACCCCCCUCCCUUUGAAACUUGACCUCAAAUCAGGUAGGACUACCCGCUGAACUUAA
rnacentral:misc_RNA from 1 species